AGGAAGAUGCUUAAUCCUCAUUCAUAAGGGCAAACAGGAUAGACAUUGGAAGUAGGAGAAGACAAGGAAAAGGACAGAAGCCUUCCACAGAGGACUUAUGAAAGACUCUACCAACCAGGAGGAUGUUGCAUGGGCAAAGACAAACAUAAAGUGUAUCACAGUCAAUAAUGAAAUGCAGAACAGGUUAAAGUGCUGAAAAUGAAAGAUAAGUUGACCAGCCUAAAGAGAACAUCAGCAUCAACUCCUGCUGUAAAACUAAGUUCCAGGGAACAUCACAGAAAAGGAGGCAAAAAGAAUGAAGAUCUGGAGGAUGAGGAGGAGUCCUGUUCAAUUCUAUCUUCCUGACAAGACAUGGCCAUUGAGCUCAAGAAAUCAGAGCAGCUAUGGCCACCUAUACAAGAACUGCACAUCAAAACAUCCCAAAUUCCAGCAUGGAGCAGAAGAGCUUAAAGAACUGACCCUUACUGAGGAUUAACUGGCUAUGGAUAGUUAUUGGAUGAGAGAGAAUUAUUAUUUAUAGAGUUUGUGGACAUUGGCAUGUUUUCCAUGCUCCAGUGUAUGGGCCUACACUCUUGGGCAGCACUGAGAUAGGUUAUUAAAAAAUAUAUGAAAUUGGGAGGGAGCUGUUAUGGGGUCAUGAGAAGAGUGAAAAGUAGCAAAAUUUAAGUAAAUAUUGUAAACAUGUACAAAAUACUCAAUAACAAAGUAAAAUUAAAAAGUAAGUGUCCAAAACAGGCUUUAGAGGCUUUCCAUAAAUAUAUAACAAGUGUGUGUUGUUAAAGAAAUGAUUAUCAUCUUGAUCAUAUUCUUUCAUUUCCCAAGCUGCUUAUGUACCAUGCCUUAGAAAACGGAGUUUUAAUUAAAACUUAUUAUUCAGUACCUUUUGGUGGAGGUGUGUGCAAAAGUUAGGAGAGGGGAUUGGAAAGGAGGCAAAGAAGCAGGAAAGAGAAUGGGUAUGAACCUACAUGUCAAUGGUUCCCUAAUGAAAGGUAAACAUAUAUUUAUUAUAAAUGACCGGCUCAUGUAGGAAUAGGAAUGGAGCAGGAACAUGAACAACUUUUCAGAUACUGGGGUGAGGAGCUCACAUUGCUGAGUAGAUUCCAUACAGCCAACAAAGAAACAAGCGUCUCCACAGAACUGACUGAUUGAGAUGUUAGGGACAGGGCAUUUCUCUUACUGUGCAAGAGCAACCAUUUCUGCAGUGCUGAUGGCAACACACAUUGUAUGGACCAAGUAUAGGGAAUGCUUCUCCGGCCAAAUCCAAAGGCAGGUAGCUACGCUGCAGAAAAGACGAGUAAGUUCAAAGAAGCUAUCUGCCAGAACAACAUAUUGGGUAUUAUAAAGCCUAUAGUGGUGGAUGUUCUGACAGGAAAGCAAGUGCUUUUUCACUGGUAUUCCUAAGGAAAAGAAGCAAGCAUGGGGAAUGUGAAUUCCAGACUUGUGAGGAGGAGUGGGCUGAAAAUGUUGCAGUGGACUUCUUCAUGGAGAGACCGGCCUGAGAAUCAGAGGAGACUGAGGCAGCUGGGGUUUGAAGGCCCACGUCGCAGAAAUAACGGAUCAACACAAAUCUCCAGAAAUCUGUAUAGGCGAAACAUCUGCCCAGCCCAAGGUAAAUAUGGCAAUUAUAAAAUCUUAAUAGGCUAUUUAAGCUGUGGGCUGGC